rnacentral:rRNA from 1 species
UAAUACGGAGGGUGCGAGCGUUGUCCGGAUUUAUUGGGUUUAAAGGGUGCGUAGGCGGCCUUAUAAGUCAGCGGUGAAAUACCCAGGCCCAACCUGGGGGGUGCCGUUGAUACUGUAUGGCUUGAGUGCGUUCCGUGUACAUGGAAUUUAUGGUGUAGCGGUGAAAUGCAUAGAUACCAUAAGGAACACCGAUAGCGAAGGCAUUGUACAGGGGCGUAACUGACGCUGAGGCACGAAAGCACGGGUAGCGAACAGGAUUAGAUACCCUGGUAGUCCGUGCCGUAAACGAUGAUCACUCGCUGUUGACCCUAUAUGGGUCAGUGGCCAAGCGAAAGCGUUAAGUGAUCCACCUGGGGAGUACGCCGGCAACGGUG